rnacentral:rRNA from 1 species
AACGAACGCUGGCGGCAUGCCUAACACAUGCAAGUCGAACGAGACCUUCGGGUCUAGUGGCGCACGGGUGCGUAACGCGUGGGAACCUGCCCUUAGGUUCGGAAUAACUCCCCGAAAGGGGUGCUAAUACCGGAUAAUGUCUUCGGACCAAAGAUUUAUCGCCUUUGGAUGGGCCCGCGUUGGAUUAGCUAGCUGGUAGGGUAAAAGCCUACCAAGGCGACGCUCCAUAGCUGGUCUGAGAGGAUGAUCAGCCACACUGGGACUGAGACACGGCCCAGACUCCUACGGGAGGCAGCAGUGGGGAAUAUUGGACAAUGGGCUAAAGCCUGAUCCAGCAAUGCCGCGUGAGUGAUGAAGGCCUUAGGGUUGUAAAGCUCUUUUACCCGGGAUGAUAAUGACAGUACCGGGAGAAUAAGCUCCGGCUAACUCCGUG